UACGUAGGGACCGAGCGUUGUCCGGAAUCAUUGGGCGUAAAGAGCGUGUAGGCGGCCUUUUAAGUCCUGCGUGAAAUCCUGCGGCUCAACCGCAGACGGUCGUGGGAAACUGGAAGGCUAGAGUGCGGGAGAGGAGAGUGGAAUUCCCGGUGUAGCGGUGAAAUGCGCAGAUAUCAGGAGGAACACCAAUGGCGAAGGCAGCACUCUGGGACGUGACUGACGCUGAGACGCGAAAGCGUGGGGAGCAAACAGG
rnacentral:rRNA from 1 species